CCUCGUAGCCCAUGAUAACAUACUCCUCGUUGGUUUUAAUUUCAGGGCAGAGACACGCCGAACUCGUGUGAAGCGUGACCGUUUCCUUCGGAAUAUUCACCAGGGAGGAUUUCAAGACAUCUUUCACCUCCACCGUCGUGGCGACGUCGUGACAUUUAUUUCUCACUUCUUUCACUUUGGCGCGAAUGACUGGAAUGAGUUUCCCAAAACAAAUAAACAGCACACUGAGCACACUGGUGGCUGCAGCCCAUUUCAUUUCCUCUACCCUCACUCACUUUGGUGGGGAAAGCAGUUGGAGGAAGCCCUGGGCUGUCUGCCAGCAAAUUGACCGCUUUUACCAAAUUUGUGCAAAGUCGGUGUAAGUAAAGGCGCGACAGGAAUCCUAAUGCUUUCUGUGUCAAACUUCUAUAGUUUACCCAGCAAUUAACUCGGCAUUUCUUAGUCAAGGAUGAAAACAAUGCUGGCUAAGUGGGAAUGAGGGCGUCACUGACUAGGCAGCAUUUAUUGUCCACCCCUAUUUGCCCAGAGGACAGUUCAGUGUCAACCACAUUGCUGUGGGUCUGAGGUCACACGCAAGCCAGUGCAGAACACACACUAAGCCCGAACUGAUGUCAUCUUUAUUCCAUGAGUGAACUAUCUGCAGAACAGAAAAGGCUUUUCUAACUGAUGAGUACAGUAAUGCCUUUUUAUUUGUUGUACAAAAAGUUAACACCAUGUAUACACAGACAUGUCCAAGAAUGGGUGCUGUACAUUAUCCAGACUUUGAGCUGUUUAGAACCACAAUCUUCUUGGCGCUGAUCAAAGUGUGAACCAUCUGGUUAGCUUCACAGUAAACAAACUAACCAAACCCUUGCUGCCAGUUUGCAUGAUCGUCAAAAAGAGACUUAUUUUUGUCGCUUUGUCUUGUUUAGUAUUUCUCUUUGAUGUAAUUGUGCCCAUAAUGUUCUUGCUAACACAAGUUAUUUGGGUCAAUUUCUCUUUUGGGCUGCGUUUGGCUCCAGAUGCUGUCAUACUACAUAUUAUCACGACAAUCUGAUAAAUUAUAUCUUAUUUGUUUAAAGUAACCUGGUGGUGACUAACAUCUUAAUUUACAACAGUUAAAAUUGUCUUGAAAAUAUGCAGUAUCUAAUUAUAUGAAUGUUAGAUUUCGUGAAGCUUCUUUGUGAAUCAGCAUGCUUUUUAAAAAUAAAAUUUUGCCAAAUAAGCACACUGUUAAUAUGACAAUUAAAGACCAGUAAGUAGAGCCAUCCACUUCUUUAAAGUGUCGAAAUGCAUCGACAGCAAAGCCUCUUCCUUUCACACUGCUCGAGAUUCCGUGAAUCUAACCAGAAUUGAAUACUAUUGCUGGCGUUUAAAAGGGGAAUGCUGUUUACAAUUGUAGUACAAACUUGUGCCUGAGUAGAGUCUUAUAUUGCUGUGUAAA